rnacentral:rRNA from 1 species
UGAGUACGAGCUGCUACGGCAGCGAAGUGGGUGAUGUCAAGCUUCCAAGAAAAGCCCUAUACCCGUUAAGGCAUGACGGCCUGUACCCGAAACCGACACAGGUGGGGUGGUAGAGAAUACCGAGGGGCGCGAGAUAACUCUCUCUAAGGAACUCGGCAAAAUGGCCCCGUAACUUCGGGAGAAGGGGUGCCACCGCAAGGUGGUCGCAGUGAAGAGGCCCAGGCGACUGUUUACCAAAAACACAGGUCUCCGCUAAGUCGCAAGACGAUGUAUGGGGGCUGACGCCUGCCCAGUGCCGGAAGGUUAAGGAAGCUGGUCAGCGCAAGCGAAGCUAGCGACUGAAGCCCCGGUGAACGGCGGCCGUAACUAUAACGGUCCUAAGGUAGCGAAAUUCCUUGUCGGGUAAGUUCCGACCCGCACGAAAGGCGUAACGAUCUGGGCGCUGUCUCGGAGAGAGGCUCGGCGAAAUAGAAUUGUCUGUGAAGAUGCGGACUACGUGCACCCGGACAGAAAGACCAUAUGAAGCUUUACUGUAGCUUGGUAUUGUGCCCGGGCUCUGAAUGCGCAGGAUAGGUGGGAGGCUUUGAUCCAUUGCUUGUGGGUAAUGGUGAGCCACUGGUGAGAUACCACUCUUUCAGAGCUAGGGUUCUAACGGUCACCCGUUAUCCGGGGACCGGACAGUAUCAGGUGGGCAGUUUGACUGGGGCGGUCGCCUCCUAAAAGGUAACGGAGGCGCGCAAAGGUUCCCUCAGGCUGGUUGGAAAUCAGCCGACGAGUGUAAAGGCAGAAGGGAGCUUGACUGUGAGACCUACAAGUCGAACAGGGACGAAAGUCGGCCUUAGUGAUCCGACGGUUCUGAGUGGAAGGGCCGUCGCUCAACGGAUAAAAGUUACUCUAGGAUAACAGGCUGAUCUCCCCCAAGAGUUCACAUCGACGGGGAGGUUUGGCACCUCGAUGUCGGCUCAUCGCAACCUGGGGCUGAAGUCGGUCCCAAGGGUUGGGCUGUUCGCCCAUUAAAGCGGUACGCGAGCUGGGUUCAGAGCGUCGUGAGACAGUUCGGUCCAUAUCCGGUGCACGCGCAGGAACAUUGAGAGGAUUUCUCCCUAGUACGAGAGGACCGGGAGGAACGCACCUCUGGUGUACCAGUUAUCGUGCCAACGGUAAACGCUGGGUAGCCAUGUGCGGAGCGGAUAACCGCUGAAAGCAUCUAAGUGGGAAGCCCACCUCAAGAUGAGUGUUCCCAUGGCAUAAGCCAGUAAGGUCACGGGAAGAACACCCGUUGAUAGGCUCUACGUGGAAGCGUGGCAACACGUGAAGCGGAGGAGUACUAAUAGACCGAGGGCUUGAC